GAUGAACGCUGGCGGCGUGCCUAAUACAUGCAAGUCGAGCGAACGGACGAGGAGCUUGCUGCGCUGAUGUUAGCGGCGGACGUGUGAGUAACACGUGUAUAACCUACCUAUAAGACUGGUAUAACUUCGGGAAACCGGAGCUAAUACCGUAUAAUAUUUUGAACCGCGGGGGUCGAAGGUGAAAGACGGUGGUGCUGGCACGUAUAGAUGGAUCUGCGCUGCAUUGUCUAGUUGGUAAGGUAACGGGUUACCACGGCAACGAUGCAUAGGCGACCUGAGAGGGUGAUCGGCCACACUGGAACUGAGACACGGUCAAGACUCCUACGGGACGCAGCAGUAGGGAAUCGUCCGCAACGGGCGAAAGCCUGACGGAGCAACGCCGCGUGAGUGAUGACGGUCUUCGGAUCGUAAAACUCUGUUAUUAGGGAAGAACAUAUGUGUACGUAAAUGUGCACAUCUUGACGGUAACUAAUAAGAAAGCCACGGCUAACUACGUG
rnacentral:rRNA from 1 species